rnacentral:lncRNA from 1 species
AUUGUAAUUAAUUUUGCUCAGGAGUGCGAAACAAAAUUCAGGGAUGAACCAAUGCUUCUGUUUGGCUUUAGUGCAUGAUUGGGAAAAUGAAAGGCUUAUAGGUUUUGCACAACAUAGCUAAGAAAUAAGUAUACCCACUGUAAAAGAAGACUAUUCUGGUUGCUGGUUUAUGGUAGAAAGAGAUUAGGAUAGAAAGACUAAAAUAUGGACACUAGGGAAAUUGUUUAAAUGAUAGUCUAUUUGAAUAAUACAGAAAUAUUUUGUCAUACUGAGAUUAUCUGUCCAAAAAUAUAGUCUUAUAUCCUUCCAUUCAGAAAAAGGGGCAGUUUUUAAAGGCCUCUAUCAUAAUAGGAAAUGUAUGUUUUGAUUAGUGGAACAAUUCAUUAAAACAUUUAAUCUGAUCAUUUUGGUUACAUGAAUCUGAAUUUUCACUUUAGCUGAAACUGAGUCUUAUAUGUAUGUGUUAGUAAUCUUCGUAAGAAGUAAUUUAACCAUUUUUUUAAAGUUGAUAAAAUUUGCUAAGUGGUGAUUCCAGCAUAUUGUGUUAAUAGUGUAUCUUACAAUUUGUGAACUGACCAUAUGAAAACAAACCAUAGUAGUAUCUCUUCUGGUAAAAUGUUUCCAUGGUGUGAUCUCUUAUACUGGGUUUGGGGUGGGGAGGUUACGUAUUUAGUUUAUGUAAAACUAACUGUUGAACUGUUUUUCCUAAAUGCCAUAAAAUUAUAUGAUUAUAAACCAAAUAGGAAUAGCCUAUUAAAGGCACUGUAUAGACUAUUUUUGAAGUUAUCCCAUAAAAUGACAUCGUUUCUGUUAAAAAGUUUCUACACAUACAAGGGAAAGCAAACAGUGUAUGUAUUAUUUCUGUGUAAUAUGCUAAAUGUUUUAGAAUCCAUUUUUCAAUCUUAUGCAGAUAGAAAGUGAUUUUGCAGAUAACAGAGUAACAAAUACAACUACAGCACUUCAGUUUUUUCACAGAGAUGUCUCAUACAUGUUUAUUAUCUCAUAGUUUGCAAAGAUCAUUCACAUAUCUUAUUUAACCUUUAAAAUAUCCUUAUACAGUAAUAAUACUAUCUGAAGUUUAGAGAUUAAACAACCAAGGCUUAGAAAGAUCCUGACUUGUCCAAGAUCAUAAGGGCAGCAAAUGAUUUUACAUUUCAUGUUCUUUACACUUUUCAAUCUCUGCCAAGUUUUUUCUUUCCUACCACUGCCAUGAUCUUUAAGACUUUAACUAAAAUUUAAUUCCAAAUGAUACACUGGGAAAUUUCACAAGGCACUGUUGCUGUUAUUGUCAGACCUUUCUAAAUGCUUCUAAAAUAGAGUCCUCCUACAGGGUGAUAGCCAAACAUUUUCCAUCUAAAACAUAUUUAAGUCCUCACACUCUGACUACAGACAUUAAAUCCAGAUGAUAUCAAAAUGCUGGACUGAAAAAUUAUCUUCUCCACUGGUCUCCUUUCUAAUUUCCUUUUUAAAAAGUCCAUCAUAAUGACUAACUUAUGAAUAGUUCAAAGAAACAAUAAUCAACCCAAGAAACUGCAGACAUUCUGAUUCAGAGAAAGCAUACUCUAAGACCCACCAUACUGUCCAUUUUUAAGCUUAAUGUUUUUCAUCAAAUGUGUUCUGUGAUUAGGGGAGGACAGGGAAUGGGGACUGAGUAGAAAAACUGCCUUUCUUUUAAGAAAACCUCAUUAUUUCCUGUAACUAUUCAAAAAGACUUGAUAUCAAGUAUUAGACAACAGGACUAUUAACAUUUAGCCAUAGUUCAAAUAUAUGGUAAAGUUGAUACACAUAUUUUAAAAUUUGCUGAAGUAAUUUCCUGGAUAAAAUUAAAAUCUGAUGACUUCUCAGUUUAAAUAUGGAGAACAUUCAUGUGUUAACCAAUGGCAUAAUGCUACAUUUUAAUUCUUUUUUCAAAUAACAGAGAGACACUGAAAUUGCUUUCCCUUGUAAAUCAACAGUCUGUGAUACAUUCUGUACUUUUACUGACUAGCAAUGAAGUGUUACUGUGAAUAAUUAAAUGAAAUAUAAACUAUAGCAUAUCAGAAUUUAACAUUUUGUAACCUUAAGUUUAGUUCUCCUCCUCAAACAGAUAAGUCAAACAAGUAUUAUUUUGUAUGGAAUGAAAUAAUAGUCAUUCUUAAACAAUGACAUAAUAAAUAAUGGAGUUCUGAUAAAAUAUAAGAUCAAAACACUUUAUAUUUUUCUACAUUUGUCUUCCUUUGACAUUGAGUUAUGUUAAUUUACCACAUAUUAUUGUAAAGUUAAAAUAAACUGUUAUGUCAUGUUCUGUAAUGUUCCUGACAUAGUAAUUUUGGGCCUUCUGUUAACUAAAUAACAGUAAAUACCUGUGAG